GGCCAAAUAUUUAUUGGAUUCGUUAAUAACAGGGGCCGUUUCGAACCUGGCUAGCUUCUCUUCGAAGGAGUCCGGUGAUUCGCCUGGCCGGAUGACAUCAGGCGUCGCGGACUUCAUGACAGGGAGAAAAAAAACCAGUCUGGCAGCAGGCAUGUUUUGCUGUCCCAGGAAGGGGGCGUCGACACAAGCGUAACCUUAACAUGUUCACACAACUACGCAAGGUUACUGUUUCUCUUCAGCGAUGGAGGAUCGUGUGUAAAGAAAGGGAAUGAGACAGAGACAGCGAGAGGAACGGAACGUUUGCCAUCUCCCGGUUCAAUUUCGCUCCGAUCCAACGUCGACCAGAUACCCCUGCUCAACCAACUGCAUAUAACAAAUCACGACGAAGUAAAUUUGUUAAGAAGCAGCCAGUAGAACAGUAAGUCUUGGAGACGUAGGGCCUGCGGCUCGAGCCGGCGCGGCGCCUGCUGUUGCCGAUGACCACGGAGCUUGUUGUUUGUUAGAGUACCGCUGUAACUUUGUCUUCGAAGAACCGUAACGAUGCAACAGCAGCUCCAGCAGCCAGUAAUUUUAAGACGUACGAAAUGCUGCAUAGGGCAUUCUAACCAAUUUUCUCGCUUCUUUCUUCUCGAUACGAUGGCGCUCAACAGGUUAAAAAUGCGUGUCUUAAAUGCAGAAGACAACACGGCAGUCCGGCACGGUGCUGUGAAAUAUGACGGUGUCGACGGAAGCAACCUCUGCGUUUAUGUUCGCGUUCGCAGGACGCAAUAAAUAUGAGCUAAUAGUAUGUGUUGAGAUGUGCGUAAAACAGGUCACAAUAACAAUAACGAUAUGUAUUGGAUUACCUGAUCUAAUGAUGAGCUCGUGAACUCUUCCUUUGGAUCGCACGCGAUUCAAUAAAUGCUCCUUCGUAAGAUUGUCACAAUAUGGCUGUGCCAUAAACGCGUUACAAACAAAUUAAUGGCUCCGCUUUUGUUUAAUGAAUUUUAUAUGAGUACACGUUGGAAUCCCGGGUAACGCCACCAAAAGGGCCGCGCACGUUGGCAUGAGCGUACAGGAAAGUUUAACAAUGAAUUCAGUGCCCCAGGCGACGUUACCGGCCAUGGCGAGGACGCUGUAACCCUAGAUGUGGCAUCAUUAACAACUGUUCUCGUACUCCCUAAUCUAAAUCAGGCGCCUAGGAACACCCUACAGCUGGAGCGCAGAAUUUAGCAUUUAUAUUACUUUUAAAUGGAAGAAGUACCGUUACAUUCGUUCUCAAAGGAGAUGAAAAAAUUAGACCAUUGUGUUCGCGCGAAUAGUAGUCUGGAGCCACUUAUUAAUAUCGACAAAUGCUUUCAGUUUAGCGAGAUUGGCAAAUUAACGUCUAAGCAUGCUUAAAAAAAUCUAUUAUUUAAAAUCUAAUAAAUAAAAACUUAAUACCAUUGAAAUUUUACGUCGUUCUGCCGAUAGAGCCGAACAUUGCCAACAAGAUGUUGGGAUAGACAGACAGUUACAAAUCAAUCAUCGUGCUUAAUUCGAAUUUUCCUUCUUAAGAUCAUAUCGACCCCGAUUUUAACAGAUUAGUGCGAAGAUAACCUAGAAACUGUAACAUUGUAAUUUUUUUCUAUAGAUGUUAACCCUGCCUCGCUAUUGAUUUCGCUGCGCUUUUACCGUUAAUUUUAAGUGGCAGUUCUGAUAGUUCGUACGAACUUCUACCGUUCCCGACACUACCUAUCCCGAAAAUCGGACCAGCUGCAAUUGUCACGAGUGUAUUUUUCGUAAUUGGCCUAAUCAACGAACUAAAUGAACGGUUCAAUGAAUGAUUUAGGCUACUCAUUGCUCCUCGAUGAUGAGCAGAUGAAUGAAAAAUGUUUUAGGCCACACCAAAAAUGCAUUUUAUCCUAGGAAUCAUAUCUUGGAAUUUGAGUCAAAUAUCCUAAGAAAGAUAUUUUGAAAUAGCUAUAGGACACUGUGACCUUCAUUAUAGGCUAAGUGAUCCGUGAACUUUGUGGUCCUUUUAGACGAUUGCUCCAGAGCCAAUUAGUACAUAAGUACUGUUGAUCGAAAAACGACAAUUUGC